rnacentral:rRNA from 1 species
AUUGAACGCUGGCGGCAGGCUUAACACAUGCAAGUCGAACGAGUGGCGGACGGGUGAGUAAUGUCUGGGAAUCUGGCUUAUGGAGGGGGAUAACUACGGGCAACGGUAGCUAAUACCGCAUACCAUCGGAGGAGCCCAAGUGGGAUUAGGUAGUUGGUGAGGUAAAGGCUCACCAAGGAGACGAUCGCUAGCUGGUCUGAGAGGAGUACCAGCCACACUGGGACUGAGACACGGCCCAGACUCCUACGGGAGGCAGCAGUGGGGAAUAUUGCGCAAUGGGCGCAACCCUGACGCAGCCAUGCCGCGUGAAUGAAGAAGGCCUUCGGGUUGUAAAGUUCUUUCGGUAGCGAGGCGUUAACUACAGAAGAAGCACCGGCUAACUCCGUGCCAGCAGCCGCGGUAAUUC